rnacentral:lncRNA from 1 species
UCUUGCUUCUGCUGGUUCACUUAGAUGCUUCAUCUCCCACACAGUGGCUCUAAAUUAUUUGAAUUUUUUGAGUCUGCCCUAGAAACCUCGCUAAAUCAGAGUCUUUCAGAUCAGGCAUUCAGUUCCACCCAGAAGCUGGAAAUACUUGACAACUUCCAGUGUUGUUUUUUUUUUUUCCUUCUAUCAGCAACUCAGAAAUACAGAACCCUGUGAAAAUGAAUGAAAAGCCCUGCUUAUGUAAAGCUGGUAGAGCUUUGCUGCACAUUCAGAUCGUAUUUGAACCAAAGAUUAACAUGAAGAUGAGGUUUUAUUAUUCUUCAUCUCUCCUGCUCUUCCUUGUUUCCCCAUAAUGGAUUUUGAUUUAUUUGGUGAUGGGAUCAGACUUCUCUUCUCUUUAUCAUCAGGAACAUGUUUUCCACUAAGGAAUGGGAGGGGAUGCAGCAGCUACUCCAAAUUGCAAAUGUCCUAGAAUCAGAACUUACCAGCCAAUUUUGUCAACGUAGCAGAAGCUGGAAAAGAGUACAAUUUAGUCUUCCAUAGAAAUAUUGACUCUCUUGUGCUCACAACACUGCUCAUGCUUUAUGGUACUGUAUAAUCGGAAAGAGACAGACAAAUCAAAGAUGUACAGCAAAAAAAGCAAACUAGCAAUGACUACUUCAAUCAGCCCUGGUACGAGUGCUGCUGACCCUUCUCCCACUGCAAACAGGAAGAUCUUGCAUAAGUAUAGAGUGACUGAGCCAGCAAUCUGCAUGGUAACCAACCUUCAGCUCCAGUAAACAGGUACUGCUUUUAUACUUGAGAUUUUUCAACUGUGGUUUCUCUUUCCACUUGAAAUGAUUUUGAUCAAGAAUGCCUGUUUAAAAAAAAAAAAAAAAAAAAGUA